rnacentral:rRNA from 1 species
CCUACGGGUGGCUGCAGUGGGGAAUAUUGGACAAUGGGCGAAAGCCUGAUCCAGCCAUGCCGCGUGUGUGAAGAAGGCCUUCGGGUUGUAAAGCACUUUCAGUGGGGAAGAAAGCCUUGGGGCUAAUACCCUCGAGGAAGGACAUCACCCACAGAAGAAGCACCGGCUAACUCCGUGCCAGCAGCCGCGGUAAUACGGAGGGUGCGAGCGUUAAUCGAAAUUACUGGGCGUAAAGCGCGCGUAGGCGGUCUGAUAAGCCGGUUGUGAAAGCCCCGGGCUCAACCUGGGAACGGCAUCCGGAACUGUCAGGCUAGAGUGCAGGAGAGGAAGGUAGAAUUCCCGGUGUAGCGGUGAAAUGCGUAGAGAUCGGGAGGAAUACCAGUGGCGAAGGCGGCCUUCUGGACUGACACUGACGCUGAGGUGCGAAAGCGUGGGUAGCAAACAGGAUUAGAUACCCCGGUAGUC